UGCGAAUGAUGUUUCUAGUAAUACUUUUAGUUUUUGCGUCUUCUUCUAUUUUGAUUUCAUGCGAACACACUAAGAAUGUCAACGAAGCUGAGCAAACAAGACGAGUUCUAGUUUCUUCUCAACCUUGGAACUCUCACUAUUUUAAAUCUCAAGAAACGCUAACAAAGCGUAAAGAAAUCACAGGAACAUCGGAACAAGGGAACCAAGACACGGAAAACAAGAAACGAAAUGACAAACUAAUCCGCGGUCGUUCCGCCAGCAUUCGGGCAGACAACACCGGCACCUCAUUCACUACAGACAAUGGAGACAACGCCGCUGCUGUCGGAAAGCCAACUGAGACAGUCCAAGGUAAAGAAAAAACCAAACGCAGUCUGACGG